GAAGGGAGGUCAAGAGCGCGAGGU
rnacentral:siRNA from 1 species